UGAGGAAUAUUGGUCAAUGGCCGGGAGGCUGAACCAGCCAAGUCGCGUGAGGGAUGACGGCCCUACGGGUUGUAAACCUCUUUUUGUCGGGGGAGCAAAGGGACUUCACGUGUGAAGUUUCGAGAGUACCCGAAGAAAAAGCAUCGGCUAACUCCGUGCCAGCAGCCGCGGUAAUACGGAGGAUGCGAGCGUUAUCCGGAUUUAUUGGGUUUAAAGGGUGCGCAGGCGGAGUGUCAAGUCAGCGGUAAAAUUUCGGGGGCUCAACCCCGGCGAGCCGUUGAAACUGACGCCCUUGAGUGCGCGAGAAGUAUGCGGAAUGCGUGGUGUAGCGGUGAAAUGCAUAGAUAUCACGCAGAACUCCGAUUGCGAAGGCAGCAUACCGGCGCGCAACUGACGCUCAUGCACGAAAGCGUGGGUAUCGAACAGGAUUAGAUACC
rnacentral:rRNA from 1 species